rnacentral:rRNA from 1 species
UACGAAGGGGGCUAGCGUUGCUCGGAAUUACUGGGCGUAAAGGGAGCGUAGGCGGAUAGUUAAGUUGGGGGUGAAAGCCCGGGGCUCAACCUCGGAAUUGCCUUCAAUACUGGCUAUCUAGAGUAUGGGAGAGGUGUGUGGAACUCCGAGUGUAGAGGUGAAAUUCGUAGAUAUUCGGAAGAACACCAGUGGCGAAGGCGACACACUGGCCCAUUACUGACGCUGAGUCUCGAAAGCGUGGGGAGCAAACAGG